AUUCAGAUCCCGUUUACGGAGAGCCAGUUCACUCCCUGUUCAGCCCCAUUGUACCAAAUUUGGUUGCAGUUCCACCAGAGUUCCACUGGGGGUGAUCGCAGGCGAGUGCAAAAUGAAUGGGACCCAAUGGAGCUAGAUGGCUAACUGUAUGGGAGUCUAUGGA